rnacentral:tRNA from 4 species
GCCCAGGUGGCGGAAUUGGUAGACGCACUAGGUUCAGGUCCUAGCGGGAGCAAUCCUGUGGAAGUUCGAGUCUUCUCCUGGGCACCA